AGCAUGGAUAUAAAAGCCCAUCGCUCUGUGCUUCCUGGCGUACUCUCAGUGUAACCGUGGGAGACGCUUCCUUGACCUUCCUUCUCCUCCUCUCCUGAUGUGUUGCUCAUUCUUCACCCCCUCGUCGUCGUCAGCGGGCGUCUGACGCUCACGUUUGGACGACGGCCGCGUUCAUGAUUAAAAAAACAAAACAAAAACAAAUGGGUUGUGGCAAUUCGUCGGCCGCCAGCACCUCAGGAGGGGGGCCAUCCGAAGCCUCCAGGGAUGUGACAGAAGAUCCCUUAGCAGACGAUGAGAAAAGAAGGAAUUAUGGCGGCGUGUACGUGGGUCUCCCGGCAGACUUGACCACGGUGGCCGCAAGUCAGUCCAAAUCGAGCCGAAAAGACUAGCAGUGUGAAGAGGAUCCCACAGAGGUACAUGCGGCAUUUACACUCAAGUCAAAAUCACUCGCAAAGGUUCCUGUAAGAGCACUGUGACCAGCACUCUGCAUAUUUACCCUGAGGUGCCCCCCUGUGGACGCCACCUUGGACGCAUGGUGACGUCACUGCUGACUGACUGACGCGUCGGCCCUUUCAACCCGCUUGCUCGAGUCAAGAUGCAGACAUUUCACCGGGUCUCUGAAGAUUCGUGGACUCGUCGCGGGAGUUAAGCUCUGGGGACACCAUUAAUGAUAGAUACAUCCUUCAAAUGUCAAAAGUUAGCCGUGGAAGUGGGCAAGCGCACUUCAGGGGACCUACAAGGCAUCAGCGAGCACAGAUCGUCAUGACAGCCAUCUCGGCGUGUCAGUCACAGUGAUGAAAUGUCGCUGGCCAAUUAAGAUGUUCUUUUUUCCUCAUUAGCGCGCCGCAAAUAACAAUGACCGCUUUGGAGACUCAGUGUGCGCCUUGGACACAACGAGAAUGUCAGAAAAACAUCAGGAGGUCGUUCAAGCGACGCUCACGGGCCACAAUAGGAGGUCCACCUCCACAUAUCUUUUGCCUUAUUAUUCAACCAUUUAAGAAAAAUGAAUAACAAAA